AUUUUUGUUGGGUUAUUUACUGAUAGGAACAGAUCAUUUUUGAGUUUAAUAAUUCUGGGUUUCAAUCAUCCAAUGGCAAGUUUGUGUUUUGGGAAGUUGAUUUGGUAUAUGUGUCUUGGAUUGGGGCCUAGUGGUAAAUUAAGAUGGGCUCUGUAUGGUCCUUUUCCUUGCUACUUUUGUAUGGAUUUCAGCUUUUUAGAGAAGCUACAAGUUACAAUUUCUCCAAAACAAAGUCUUUUCCAAAUCGAAAUGUGCUUUGGAUGUGUUUGUGGUUUUUUGUGAUUUGGAAAUCUUGCUUUCUGAGUAUGAUCAUGGUAAAUGAUUUCGAGUACAAGAACAGAGCACAGAUUUUCCAAGUUAACCAAUAUAUGCCUUAGUACCUUGUGCCUUGUUUACCGGGGAAAGAAUAAUGGAACUGUUGAAAUUUGAUCAUGCUGUUGUUUGGAUGUGAUUAAAUUGAAAUAACCAAUAUCUCAUUUUCAGUUGUAUGUAAAAGCAGUUUUUGGAAGCUACGUAUUUGUAUAUACGUACAAUUUGUAGUAAUAAGAUACCAUACUAACAAGCUGGGUUUUUUAAUCUCUAAGUGAGAAAGAUGGUUUUACCAGAAGAAGAGAUCACAAGGCUUUACAGAGUUCGAAGAACCGUGAUGCAAAUGCUGAGAGAUCGGAAAUACUUAGUUGGAGAUUUUGAGAUCAACAUGACAAGAGAACAGUUCAAGGCCAAAUAUGGAGAAAACAUGAAAAGGGAAGACCUUACUAUCAAUAAGACAAAGAGAAAUGACAGCACUGAUCAGGUGUUUCAAUGCUGCCUUUUAUUGCAGUAGAUGUAGCCUGUAGAGUCAUUCGGUCUUUAAUUGUUUGUUCUUUUGUAUCAGCUUUACGUAUUCUUUCCUGAAGAGCCAAAGGUUGGGGUCAAGACCAUAAAAACUUACACCAACCGCAUGAAAUCGGACAAUGUAGCCAGAGCAAUCUUGGUUACUCAACAAAAUAUGACUCCCAUGGCAAGGACCUGUAUAAGCGAAAUAUCUUCAAAAUUCCACAUGGAGGUUUUUCAGGUGAAGUUUAUUGCUUAAACUGUUGUUAGAUUGAUGAAAUUGUGUUUCUGAGAUCUUGAGAAUGUCACCAUAAUCUAUUGAAGGAUCUAUGGAAAUGAAAGGUACAGAAACAUCAGCUUUCUUGGUUGGGAAAGCCUUUGUAUCAGAAACAUGAUGAUUUACCUCAGUUUCUUUCUACAUACACAUCACUGUUGCAACCUACUUAGUUGGUUUCCAUUCCAAGGGCCUCUUAAAAGGAAAAUGUAUAUCAUCAAAUGCACUCAAUAGUAUUAGUAAAAUAUGACAAAUUGAUAUUGCCUAUAAUUUAUUGUGACAGAUUGGAUGCAUGGGGUUAUCUGAUAAAUGUUAGUUUUGAGAGGCCAAUUGGCAAUUCCAACAAAUUGAAUCCAGGUCUGUCUUGAGGUUCCACUAUGUUGCCUAAAACUAGGUCUGUCUUGAGGGUUUUCAUUGCAGUGUUUGCUUUACUUAUUUCCGGGACAUCUUCAACUUGGGUUGAAGGUCAUGGUUGUUUCUUCUUGUCCGUGUAUAUGUAUACGUACUAGCAUCACCUUUGUGAGGAGGACAAUAAUUGCAGCAUGCAUUGUUCACAAAUUUAAAGGAUAUUAAUGUUUUUUUUUCUUCCUGUUAACUCCAUCGGUUUAGGAGCCAGAGUUGAUGGUGAAUGUUACAGAACAUGUUCUAGUUCCUGAGCAUCAGCUGCUUACAAAUGAGGAAAAGAAGACCUUACUGGAGAGGUAUACUGUGAAAGAGACACAGGUGAGUGCUAAACAAUGUUAACCUUGCAUUGAAGAGAUUUAUUAGGAUGCUAUGUAACACAUGCCAUGACCUGACCCAUAUCUAGAUGCUUACACACUAAAAUGUGCCACAAUCUAUUAAAUUGAGUGAUUUUAUUGUUCUUUUAACGAACUAUUUCUUUUUGUCCCCUCUCAAGAUUGUGAUGUUUCAUGUAUGUAUGUAUGUUUCAAACACAUCUUAGUUUACAGUGGCAAACCAAACCGAUUGGGAUACUAAUUGUUUCUUGUAUAUAUUUCGGGGUCAAUGGAGUUCAGCUUCCUCGUAUUCAGUUGACCGAUCCAGUUGCAAAAUAUUACGGGCUUAAGCGUGGACAAGUUAUGAAGAUAAUCCGGCCAAGUGAGACUGCAGGACGAUACAUCACCUACCGUUAUGUUGUGUAAUGCACUUACUUUCAUUGUUAGUUGACACCUGACCUGCUAGUGCUCUGUUUAUAAAUACUUGUGGCUGGAUGAGAGAGAGCUCACAAGUGAAGCAGUCUUUGCAUUUAGCAUCUUAGGCAACUGUUAUAAGUAUUUUUACAAUAGAGUCAACACUAGCUAUUAUACUGGACUUGGUGUUGACUUUAUCUUCAGCUAUUAUAUUAGCAUUCUUCCAAGCCAAUAUUAAGUCCAGUAUUUUUACUAGGGGUGGGCAUAAAAACCGAUAAACCGAUCAAACCGACCGAACCAAACCAAACCAAACCGAAAAAUAAGAUUUUUUUAACCAAACCGAAAAAGUCAACGCUGGACCUGAACCGAACCGUUGACUUCGGUUCAGGCUUCGGGUUUAAAAAUUUUUAAACCGUUGGACCUGACCCGAACCGACCAUUAUUUAAUUAUAUAAACAUUUGACACAUGGCGUUGUCUCAUUGGCUUAAAUAAGAACUUUGGGUGGGUUUGCUUGCACUAUAUCAGAACCUCUCUCAAAUUUUAAUUUAUUAUUUUUUCACUAACCCUCUCAGACUCACUCUGUAUCUAUCUCUCACUCACUCACGAAACCCUACACUAUUUCUCUCCCGAUCUGAGACUAACCCUACCUCAUCGGCCGCCAUCUCUAUCGCGCGCUCUCUCUGUCUCUCUCUCAACUCAUCUCUCUCUCUCUCUCUCUCUCUCUCUCUCUCUCUCUCUCUCUCUCUUAGUCACAUCUUUAAGUCUCUUAGAGACGCGAGACUCAUUCUCUUUCUCCAAACCUAACCAAACAUCAAUCCAAUAUCAUUGGUUUUUGGAGCGAAUCCUUGUAAAUUUUGGAGGGCUCUGGUUCAUUCUAAGGUAAUUUGUAUGUAUUUGGUUUGGAUUCUUAGUUGUUUUCAUUUUCCCUAAUUUAGUAGAUUAUUAAGGUUUCGAAAUUUUGGUAUUCUGUUGAAAUUAACGCAAUUUUUUCUUAAUUUUGCAGUUGUUGUGCUUAGUCUCUGUGGGUUUGGAUUAAUAGGCAAAAUUGAAGGUAUAAAUAUUUCUGUCUCAAUCUCUGUGUGUGGCUUAAAAGGAAUGGGAGAAUUAGAAUUAUAUAUUUUUAAAUCAUCAGCUCCACAUGGCUUUACUUUAGAUGUAUUUUUUACAAUAAAGUCAACACUAGCAUUGGAAAAAAGAAAAAAAAUUCCCAAAUUUUUGUGGAGAUAAUUUGGUUUUGAAAUUACAAACAACAUCAUGGACCAUACAGUUUGUCCCUUCAAAAUUAGGUUGAGAGAACAGUCUCGACCAUUCCAAAAGAGUAAUUUCAUGGUUCAGCUGCAUAAAUGGAGGUUCUAGCCCCACUAGUGUCCACACAUUCAGCCCAAUUCCUCUCCUCUUCCUUUGGAUUUUUGUUUUUACAAGAGAUGAUGAUAAUUAUUGAUGAAAAAAUAAAAGUACAAACUAAGUCUAACCGUGGAGGUGCGGAAUCUUUUCUUUUGGACUUUUAAACAUGGGGAUAGGGGCAACGUAACAAACAUUUUCCUAAUUUUUUUUAGUAACAAUAAUGGCUAUAUUCAAUGGCUGUGUCUUGACUUGAUUAGGGUUUUUGUUGUUAACAGAGAGAUUUUCUAGUGGUAAAGAUGGGAUAUGCAUGCUUCUUCUCCUUUGGUACGAAUUUUAGCAUUCUAGAGAAGCUACAAGUUGUAGCUCCUCUCCAAACAAGUCUUUUCCAACUUCCUUUGGAAUGGAAAAGUAGUUUGUAUGGAUUUAGUGUUUAGGGUAUAUAUAUAUAUAUAUAUGCUGAGUUUCGGUUGAGAGAUCCUUUAAAUAAGCUUAUUUAGAGACACCCUUGUAGACAGUGGCAGACCCAAUAAUUUUUCAGAUAAUUGGCAAUAUUCGAAUGAAGAUUACUAGUACUGUUUCAUAAAUUUAUAAUUAAAAAAAUUAUAGAGAGAGGCACAUCAAAAAAAUAAUAAUUAUAAAAAAAACAUAUUAUUAAAAAAUAGAAAUAAAAAACCAAAAGGAAAAAAAAAAAAACAGUUUGCAAUUUGGGUCUGUUGGCUUCUUCAAUUCAAUUUAAACGGAGUGAAUCUCUUUAUAUUAAAUUAUUAAUUGUACUUUGGCAAUGGGUUUCUAUCCAUAGUAUAUAAGGCUUUAUCUCUUUUUUUUUCAUUGCCCUAAUCCAAAACGGCGUCGUUAAAGGCGUCCCUCAAAUAAAAUUAUUUGAGAAAUCCCUCAAUAAGAAACAGUCAUAUAUAUAUAUAUAUAUACACACACAUGAGGUACACGCAAUACGUGUUGUAUCUGCAACGAAGUAUCAUUAAUUUUCCUGAUUUGUUGACCAUCAGAUACGGGUGGCAAACGAAGUAUGAUUAACAUUCCUUAUGUGUUGUUGACCACCUGAUACCACUCCAAUACGUCCCACAAUACAUACACACGAAGAAUAAGUUCUAAAUACAGUCAAGAUAUGGCGUGGGCUUAUUUUGAAAAUAUCUGAACUUUUGUGGUAAUUUCAAAAGUUUAUACAAAAGUUGGGGGUCAAAAUGUAAAUUUCAAACUUGAUUUAAUCACACUGGCCUCUCUUCAAGACAGAGGCUAGGUUUUCCACUGUAAAAGUUUUGGCGGCAGCAGAAGGAAGCAGAAAGAAGAAAGAAGAACCCUAACUCACCUUCUUCUCGACUGCAUCUGCUGCACCAGGUCUCGGCCAAAAAGGUAUUCCUCUUCCUUUUUUGAUUGUGGAUUUAUGGUGUCGAUUUUAUGCUUUCCGAAGCAAAAUGUUCGAAUUUUUGUGGGAGGUGCUCACAUUUUUGUUGGGUUAUUUACUGAUAGGAACAGAUCAUUUUUUUAGUUUAAUAAUUCUGGGUUUCAAUGAUCCAAUGGCAAGUUUGUGUUUUGGGAAGUUGAUUUGGUAUAUGUGUCUUGGAUUGGGGCCUAGUGGUAAAAUUAAGAUGGGCUAUGUAUGGUCCUUUUCCUUGCUACUUUUGUAUGGAUUUCAGCUUUUUAGAGAAGCUACAAGUUACAAUUUCUCCAAAACAAAGUCUUCUCCAAAUGGAAAAGUACUUUGAAUGUGUUUGUGGUUUUUUGUGAUUUGGAAAUCUUGCUUUCUGAGUAUGAUCAUGGUAAAUGAUUUCGAGUACAAGAACGUAGCACAAAUUUUCCAAGUUAACCAAUAUAUGCCUUAGUACCUUGUGCCUUGUUUACUGAGGAAAGAAUAAUGGAACUGUUGAAAUUUGAUCAUGCUGUUGUUUGGAUGUGAUUAAAUUGAAAUAACCAAUAUCUCAUUUUCAGUUGUAUGUAAAAG
rnacentral:lncRNA from 1 species